UCCCUGGUGAUCCAGUGGCCAAGACUCUGUGCUGCCACGCAGGGGACCCAGGUUCAAUCCCUGGUUAGGGAA
rnacentral:tRNA from 1 species